GACUACAGGGAUUCCCCCUAGUAACGGCGAGUGAAGCGGGAACAGCUCAAAUUUGAAAUCUUGCAGGGCUUACCUGCUACGAAUUGUAGUUUAGAGAAACGUUUUCGGACGUGAUGUGGGUAUAAGUCCUUUGGAAUGAGGCAUCAUAGAGGGUGAGAAUCCCGUUCUUGGCCCAUAACUCAUGUCUAUGCGAUACGUUUUCAACGAGUCGGUUUGUUUGGGAAUGCAGACCAAAAUGGGUGGUAAAUACCAUCUAAAGCUAAAUAUUGGCGAGAGACCGAUAGCGAACAAGUACCGUGAGGGAAAGAUGAAAAGAACUUUGAAAAGAGAGUUAAACAGUACGUGAAAUUGUCAAAAGGGAAACGCUUGAAACCAGUAUUGCUUCCAAGUAAUCAGCCAUGUCUCGCGAUAUGGUGCACUUGCUUGUCAGCAGGUCAACAUCAGUUUGGUUUGGGGAAAAAAACCAGAGAAAGGUAGCCCCUUGGGUGUUAUAGUCUCUGGUGCUGCCCUGGACUGGACUGAGGACUGCAGCAUUUUUGGGUAGCCAGUCGCUUCCUGAAACCUUUCGGCAGACAGCAUGCUGACUGUUGAAAAACGUAGGGAAUACGGUUGGUGAUCUACACCAAUGCUUAGGAUGUUGACGAAAUGGUUUUAAACGACCCGUCUUGAAACACGGACCAAGGAGUCUAACAUAUAUGCGAGUAUUUGGGUGGCAAACCCUUAUGCGUAAUGAAAGUGAACUUAGGUGGGAUCUUAUGAGCACCAUCGACCGGUCUGGAUUUUUUUGAUAGAUCUGAGUAAGAGCAUAUCUGUUGGGACCCGGAAGAUGGUGAACUAUGCCUGAAUAGGGUGAAGCCAGAGGAAACUCUGGUGGAGGCUCGUACCGAUUCUGACGUGCAAAUCGAUCGUCAAAUUUGGGUAUAGGGGC
rnacentral:rRNA from 1 species